rnacentral:rRNA from 1 species
AGUGAACGCUGGCGGCGUGCCUAAUACAUGCAAGUCGAACGGAGAGGCGCACGGGUGAGUAAUAUAUAGCUAAUCUGCCCCUUGCUGGAGGUCAACAGAUAGAAAUGACUGCUAAAACCCCACAGAAAGGGAUGAGACUAUAUCGUAACAGCUUGUCGGUGGGGUAAAGGCCUACCGAGGCGAUGACGCGUAACUGGACGGAGAGGAUGAUCAGUCACAUUUGAACUGAGACACGGUCCAAACUCCUACGUGAAGCAGCAGUAGGUAAUGUUGCGCAAUGGGGGAAACCCUGACACAGCAACGCCGCGUGGAGGAUGACACUUUUCGGAGCGUAAACUCCUUUUGUUAGAGGAGCGGUACCUAACGAAUAAGCACCGGCUAACUCCGUGCCAGCCGCCGCGGUAAUUC